rnacentral:rRNA from 1 species
ACGAACGCUGGCGGCACGCUUAACACAUGCAAGUCGAACGAGAGAAGAGGAGCUUGCUUUUCUGAUCUAGUGGCGGACGGGUGAGUAACACGUGAGCAAUCUGCCUUUCAGAGGGGGAUACCGAUUGGAAACGAUCGUUAAUACCGCAUAACAUAAUUGAACCGCAUGAUUUGAUUAUCAAAGAUUUAUCGCUGAAAGAUGAGCUCGCGUCUGAUUAGCUAGUUGGUAAGGUAACGGCUUACCAAGGCGACGAUCAGUAGCCGGACUGAGAGGUUGAUCGGCCACAUUGGGACUGAGACACGGCCCAGACUCCUACGGGAGGCAGCAGUGGGGAAUAUUGCACAAUGGAGGAAACUCUGAUGCAGCGAUGCCGCGUGAGGGAAGAAGGUUUUAGGAUUGUAAACCUCUGUCUUCAGGGACGAAAAAAGACGGUACCUGAGGAGGAAGCUCCGGCUAACUACGGGCCAGCAGCCGCGGGAAUACGGAGGGAGCGAGCGUUGUCCGGAAUUACUGGGUGUAAAGGGAGCGUAGGCGGGAUCGCAAGUCAGAUGUGAAAACUAUGGGCUUAACCCAUAAACUGCAUUUGAAACUGUGGUUCUUGAGUGAAGUAGAGGUAAGCGGAAUUCCUAGUGUAGCGGUGAAAUGCGUAGAUAUUAGGAGGAACAUCAGUGGCGAAGGCGGCUUACUGGGCUUUAACUGACGCUGAGGCUCGAAAGCGUGGGGAGCAAACAGGAUUAGAUACCCUGGUAGUCCACGCCGUAAACGAUGAUUACUAGGUGUGGGGGGACUGACCCCUUCCGUGCCGCAGCAAACGCAAUAAGUAAUCCACCUGGGGAGUACGACCGCAAGGUUGAAACUCAAAGGAAUUGACGGGGGCCCGCACAAGCAGUGGAGUAUGUGGAUUAAUUCGAAGCAACGCGAAGAACCUUACCAGGUCUUGACAUCGUAUGCAUAGCUCAGAGAUGAGUGAAAUCUCUUCGGAGACAUAUAGACAGGUGGUGCAUGGUUGUCGUCAGCUCGUGUCGUGAGAUGUUGGGUUAAGUCCCGCAACGAGCGCAACCCUUACUGUUAGUUGCUACGCAAGAGCACUCUAGCAGGACUGCCGUUGACAAAACGGAGGAAGGUGGGGAUGACGUCAAAUCAUCAUGCCCCUUAUGACCUGGGCCUCACACGUACUACAAUGGCUGUCAACAGAGGGAAGCAAAGCCGCGAGGUGGAGCAAACCCCUAAAAGCAGUCUUAGUUCGGAUUGUAGGCUGCAACCCGCCUACAUGAAGUCGGAAUUGCUAGUAAUCGCAGAUCAGCAUGCUGCGGUGAAUACGUUCCCGGGCCUUGUACACACCGCCCGUCACGCCAUGGGAGUCGGUAACACCCGAAGCCUGUAGUCUAACCGCAAGGAGGACGCAGUCGAAGGUGGGAUUGAUGACUGGGGUG